GACGAACGCUGGCGGCGUGCUUAACACAUGCAAGUCGAACGAAGUGGCGCACGGGUGAGUAACGCGUAAUCAACCUGCCCUUCAGAGGGGGACAAAAGUUGGAAAAGACUGCUAAUAACGCAUACUGAAGUAGGGGAUUGCGUCUGAUGCGCUAGUUGGAGGGGUAACGGCCCACCAAGGCGAUGAUCAGUAGCCGGUCUGAGAGGAUGAACGGCCACAUUGGGACUGAUACACGGCCCCGACUCCUACGGGAGGCAGCAGGUGGGAAUCUUCCGCAAUGGACGAAAGUCUGACGGAGCAACGCCGCGUGAGUGAGGACGGCCUUCGGGUUGUAAAGCUCUGUUAAUCGGGACGCGGUACCGGAAUAGAAAGCCACGGCUAACUACGUGCCAGCAGCCGCGGUAAUUC
rnacentral:rRNA from 1 species